GUCUGAUCCAGCCAUGCCGCGUGCAGGAUGACGGUCCUAUGGAUUGUAAACUGCUUUUGCACAGGAAGAAACACUCCGACGUGUCGGAGCUUGACGGUACUGUGAGAAUAAGGAUCGGCUAACUCCGUGCCAGCAGCCGCGGUAAUACGGAGGAUCCAAGCGUUAUCCGGAAUCAUUGGGUUUAAAGGGUCCGUAGGCGGUCUUGUAAGUCAGUGGUGAAAGCCCAUCGCUCAACGGUGGAACGGCCAUUGAUACUGCAGGACUUGAAUUAUUGGGAAGUAACUAGAAUAUGUAGUGUAGCGGUGAAAUGCUUAGAGAUUACAUGGAAUACCAAUUGCGAAGGCAGGUUACUACCAAUUUAUUGACGCUGAUGGACGAAAGCGUGGGUAGCGAACAGGAUUAGAUACCCUGGUAGUCCACGCCGUAAACGAUGGAUACUAGCUGUUGGGAGCAAUCUCAGUGGCUAAGCGAAAGUGAUAAGUAUCCCACCUGGGGAGUACGAACGCAAGUUUGAAACUCAAAGGAAUUGACGGGGGCCCGCACAAGCGGUGGAGCAUGUGGUUUAAUUCGAUGAUACGCGAGGAACCUUACCAAGGCUUAAAUGCAGACUGACCGAUUUGGAAACAGAUCUUUCGCA
rnacentral:rRNA from 1 species